rnacentral:lncRNA from 1 species
GAGGUCUCUGGAGGAAAACAGACCUUUUUAACUACUACAGUGCAAACAGUCCCUGGGGAGGUUUAGCUACACCAGGCUGCCAGCCAGGUACAUUUGUGUAUGCAGAUGACUCUGCUUUGAGGUGUGGGGUUGGGGGGUGCUGAGGGGUGAGGGGAGGGAACGAGGUUUACCUAAAGCACUCAUGAAAACUCGAGGCUGGUCUGAUGUCUUGUCUUGCAGCCUCAGUUUGCAGGGCCUUCCUGUUCGGGGUGAGAGGUGUAAGCAAACAGCCCCCCUUCCCUGUGUCUGCCUUAGAGAAACCAGAGGAGCUCUGCCAGGCCUCAUUGCAUUCUUGGAGGCUCACCAUCUCUUUUUUUUUGGCCUCACCAGGCGUGGGAAACUUCCCUGGCCAGGGGUCGAACCUGAGCCAUGGCAAUGACAAUGCCUAAUCCUUAACCCACUGUGCCACAUGGGAACUCCCUCACCAUCUCCUUUUUAUUCUUCCCAGAUUUUGAAUAGUGGCUUGUCCUGGGUGUGAUGUGAUCUCAGAGCAUUCCCCCAGCCCCUGCCCUCAAGAUUCACCUACAGAAUCCUCACUCCCUGCCGCCUCUUCCCUCCUUCGGGAACCUGGGAUGCACUGGAACCCUGAGAGAUUAACGUGAGGUUAGACAACAGCCAGCAGCCCUCCUAGCUCCCUGCUUGCUCCAUUCUCCUAGACCUCUUUAUUCUCUAAUUCCUCAGGAAACUCAAUUACCUUUGCUUCAUUAUGCAGAGCAAUUUAACUCUCAAACAUCCUUAGGCUCUGGGCCCACCUUUGCAAAUCCAGAAGCUCAUUAAUGUUUCACAGCACUGAGGAGCUGGCAGGAGCUUUGAAAUUUCUCUCUCUUUUUUUUUUUUUCCUCCCCAGGCUAGGGGUCGAAUCGGAGCUGUAGCCGCCAGCCUACACCACAGCCACAGCAAUGCGGGAUCCUUAACCCACUGAGCAAGGCCAGGGAUUGAACCUGCAACCUCAUGGUUCCUAGUCGGAUUCGUUAACCACUGUGCCACGACGGGAACUCCAGUAUUCAGAGGCAUUGUUAAAAGUGGGGAAAUGAAGGCAGCAGAAGAGGUCGAGGGGUUAUGACUGUGAAUUUAGGAGUUACAGUCGGGUCCCCUCUCCUUCCUAACUCUGUGAAUCGAGGUCAGUCGGUUAACCUAAGAGUUGGCUUCCUUAUUUGUACAGUAGAGGCGAUACCCAUCCCCUUGGGUGGGGCGGGGGAGGGGGGGGAGUUCCGCGAGGUUUGUAUGAAGAACACUUCUCCCGUUCAGCACAUCCAGGACCAGGGGCCCUCAACGCCGUGGCUCUCAUCUCACUAACUCGUGUUCCCUACACUCCCACACGCUGGUCUGUUUCAUAAGCCAAGCUCAUGGUCACAUCGAUGGCCUUGCCCCUGCCACUGCCCUGGCUAGCAAGCCUCAGCAGACGCUGCUCCUCGCAGGCAGACUCAACCACGCUUCCUUCUUCCUGAGCCCUAGGUCGGGGGUCUGCGAAAAGGCCCGGUCCAGUUAAAAGCAUGCAGCUUUCCAGGCCGCCUUGCCGUAGCUGGGGGACAGUGUUCAGAGCGAAUGUCAGUUGAGGUGUAUGGGCAGGGCUUCUGGGAAAGCUUCUGUUUUCUAGUACGAAGGAACUGACUAGGCUGGCUGCACUUACACCCUUCCCCCGUCUCCGUUCUUCUACCAGAAUGCUGAUUUCCUGCUCAGUGAUAGACUAGCCCUCUGAGUGAGCAGAAGGAGGAAGGACCUACCCCACUGCGGGAAGGGAGCGCAGGUCUGCAGUUGCACUGAGGAACCCCUGUGGGAGGAGGAAUUCCCUGUUUGGAUAAACCAUUUUAUUGGGUAUUCUGUUGUAAGCAGCUAAAUUUAAUUCUGUUAUACAUGCUCUUCUCCCACCACUUGAAAUUUAAAAAAAAAAUUUGUAUGACCAUCUUCUUAUGAUUUGGGGUUCAGGUGAAAAGGACCUCCAAGAAAGCGGUCUUCCCUGGUGCUCCCCUCAGUCGCUCUUCUUUUCUCAUCCCUGUGACAUCACUGUUUUCUCAUCGUAUCAUUAACCUUACCUGAAAUUAUCUCGUUUCUUUGCUUCUUGGUACUGUUCAUGUCCCUUUCUGAAGAAUUAAGCUCUGUUACAGUAAGACCUAGUAUCUCUUGUUCACUGCUCUGUCCGCACAGAGAAUUGUACCUGAUACAAAGUAGAUGCUCAGUAAAUAUUUCAGAAAUGUAUCUAAAGUUAUUAUCCGGAUUAAAGUGCAAUUUUUUGAUGUCGUCAGCAGUUUAUUGGGAAGAGGAAAAAAGUAAAAUAAGUGGAGUUGGACUGAUUACAUAGCUAUAUUUAUAUAGUCUGUGCUUGUGUGUGUAUUUAGAUAAUUCAGAUCAAUAAAUUGGGCACUUAUGUGCUAGAUAUUCUAAGCAUCUUCUUGCUUUUCAUAUUUUUCAACAAAUAGCUUGUGUAAAAUAAGAAAAUAGAAAAAUUUACACCUUACUUUACCUAUACUGGGUAUUUCUAAAAAACAAAAGUAAAGCCAGUUUCCUCUUUUAACCAUUGUAUAUUUGUUUAUUCCAAAAUGUUUGCUUAAAGUGAAAUUUGAGAUGUGUGGGGAACUUUGAGAUAGAACUGCAUUUCUGUCCCAGUGGAAAAUGCUCUUUCGCAUACAUCUCAGUGGCUUUUUGUCAAACGUGCUAUUUUGCAUGUCAAGAUGCUCUUCUUCCCUUACUGUGCAUUUCAAAGGAUGGCUGUACAGAGAAUGAAAUUUUAGUGUCAAACGCAUCAAUUACAACCCAAUGGAGCUAUUUCAUUUUCCACCAAUGAUAGAGAAAGAGAGCCAGGGGAAUAAUGAGUCUAUUUUUACCUUAAAGUUGCAGCAUUCAGGAUAAGACGUUUUCAUGUUAAAAUCAGUCUUACCCUUAAGUGUGAACCAGUGCAAGCUUUAAUAAUUCAUUCUGAAACCUGCGCUUCCCGGGCCAGUGCUCCCUGGCUCUUUACUUUUUUAGAGGUCUGUUUACCUCUCGGUUCGCACCUGCAACUGCCCGUUCAAUCUACUGUGCAUAACCAGUGGAGAAUAAGCCCAUUAACUAGAAUAAUUUAGGCAUCUCAGUUUCCUGCAGCCUUCAACUUACUGGGGUCUCACUGGCAACAUAUUUCUUCGGAAAGCUUAUCUUUCAUUUGAACUGUGGGUCCAGAUCCUUAAUGCAGUCAUCAGAAGCAUGUGGUUCAGCGACUCUUGAGAAUUUAGAAGCCCUGUGAUAGAUGGCCUGGUUUGCAAAUUCUCCAAGCAGUUUCACUAGGGAUUGAUAGAGUUCCUGGUCUGAUAUAAUGAAGCACAACAGCAGACUGUAGCAGAAUAUCAACAACAAAAAAAGGGCGGCAAAUUUGUUGGAGCAAAGGAGACGCCUCCAUUCCUUAAGGGUGGGCUACCCAGAUGACCCUAUAAAGGCUAAAGAGCCAUCCUAGUAUUCAAGUAGGCCCUUUGCAUGUAACAAAGAACAUGAUUAAAAGGUACAGUUUGAAAGGGACUGCCUCUCAGCAUCUGUUGCCUUGAUAACUACACAUGAUGUCUCAAUGACUUAGAGCCUGCUUUCGGAAAGCACGAGUUCCUAAGAGAGGGAAUUGCUGCUGUUUCUUGAACCAGGCAGUCUGGUCUCCUAGUGAAGAGCUUGGGCCCUGCAGCAAGAAGACCACGUGCCUCCUCCCAGGCAAGUUGUUGACUCUGUCUCUGGCUCUGUUUCCUCAUCUGGGCCCUGUGGCUAGCCAGAGCUUCCUGAGGUGUGCCUUGCUGCCAAGGCCAAAGCAUGAGCUGCAAACAGGCAAAAAUGUGGAGACUGCGAUGCCGUCUUGGGGGUGGGGGUAGGUAGCCCCUGUGCACUGUCACUGCAGGGGUGCUUGGAGCAGCACUUUUCCUUUGUCUCAUACCUUGUGACGCCUCAGCUUUGUAGCUGUAAACCCUAAAUUGAAAUCUGCUGUUCCUAGCAGACGGAGGGCAAAGGUUUAAACUUGGCGUGGUCUGCAUAUGAACUUGCCAUCUCUGCCCUCCUAUUUCCUGUACUUCCCUAUGCCCAGUGCCCACGAUGAAUCCGUUCCCCUAGCCAGACACCUGGGUCCUUCCAGGCUCCUUUGUGUCACCCACACGCAGGGUUCAAUCAGCUGUCGGUCAGGUGUGUGUUCUACCUCUUACCUACUAGCCCCUUUUUAGUGUAGCUGAUCGCUACUCACUUUCCAAUUCAGCUCAAAUGCAACCUCUUACAGGGAAGCUGUUCUGUGGCGGUCCCCUUGCAAGCUGACUUGGGGGCUCCCUUUCUUGAAUCUCCAAAACACCCUGUGCAUAUUCUAGAAAACACUUAGAGCAUUCUUUUCUAAACACUGAGUUCCUCCACUAGACUCUAAGCUUUGGCGGGGGGGGCAGAGAUUAGGUCUUAUUUGACUUUACAUCCCUAACUCUUGGCACAGUGCCUCCCAGGCAUUUGAUGUUUAUUGAAGGAAUCAAAGAAACAGGUCUUUGCCAGGUAACCGUGGCUCAUAACCAUGAUGUAGAACGUAUUUUCAUGGGAAAAUAAAAUAACUUAGGGUUACAAGGGUUACAAGCUUUAGAGUAUUAGCAGGCAGCAUUCUAAACGUUCCUUUUAAGAUUACCAUCUAAACUCUUUUAAAAGUGGAUUCCGCAUGAUGGUAGGUUGCCAGUCCCCUGCCCUGGUCCACAGCAUCCCAGUGGGGACUUUCACCGUCCUUGUCAUGUUGUUUUAUUUCCUUUCACUUUUUUGUUACCCAUUUCUGGGGUUUCUGGAACUAGGGGCAAGGGCUGUUGAUGAAAGGGUCGUAGCUAAAUUUACUUGAAAUGAUGAACAAAUUCAAGGAAGUCUGUUUGCGUGUAGUAAACACAUAAUAGUCGAAAUAGGUAUUUGAAGUUCAAAGCCAAGGCAAACCUCCCAGACCUUAAUAUUAAUUAAAAAAAAUCUUUGGAGUUCCCUUCCUGGCUCAGUGGUUAAUGAACCUGACUAGAAACCAUGAGGUUGUGGGUUUGAUCCCUGGCCUUGCUCAGUGUGUUAAGGAUCUGGUGUUGCCGUGAGCUGUGGUGUAGGUCGCAGACGCGGCUCGGAUCCCACAUUGCUGUGGUGUAGGCCAGCAGCUACAGCUCUGAUUUGACCCCCAGCCUGGGAACCUCCAUAUGCCUCGGAUGAGGCCCUAAAAAUA